AGUACAAGCAUUACAUUCAUUCUGAAUAGCCCAUUGGAUAAGUACCCCUUGCCCACAAACAUGUCAUUUUGGUGAGUACAAACUUAUUAGACUCAAAUACUAGCCUAAACCUAUUUUUGCUUAAUGAAGCACCGAAUACCAAGCUUUUGCGAAUAUCGGGUGUUAUGUCCAAUGUUGUAAUUGGCAAUUCUGUGAACAAAAAUAAUUAAAAAUGAUCAUGUGCAAAAGUCAGGGACUUAGUUACAAUUUC
rnacentral:lncRNA from 1 species